rnacentral:rRNA from 1 species
UACGAAGGGGGCUAGCGUUGCUCGGAAUUACUGGGCGUAAAGCGCACGUAGGCGGAUGUGUCAGUCAGGGGUGAAAUCCCGGAGCUCAACUUCGGAACUGCCCUUGAUACAGCACGUCUUGAGUCCGGAAGAGGUGGGUGGAAUUCCUAGUGCAGAGGUGAAAUUCGUAGAUAUUAGGAAGAACACCGGUGGCGAAGGCGGCCCACUGGUCCGGUACUGACGCUGAGGUGCGAAAGCGUGGGGAGCAAACAGG